CCUGAUAAAAAACUUUGAGACUGAGGCUUGGUUUACCAUGCAAAAAACCUGUAUCUGGGGGCUCCCUAAGGUGAAGCUGAGAAUGAAGACCACACAGUGAAGAGAACCAAGCUGCGUUUCCUUGAAUCACUAAUGAAUUCUGUACUCCACUGUCAGCUAAUACAAUUUUUCCCAGCCAUGCCAAGAGUAGCCGUGAAGAAAAUGCUGACCAACAGGCCCAGGAUCCUUGGCCCCUUUCAAACCAAGCCUGAGGGAACUGGAUAGGGUUGAAUGGGGAGGGGCACC